UGUUGUGGUUAAAAAGCUCGUAGUAGAACCUUGGGCCUGGCUGGCCGGUCCGCCUCACCGCGUGCACUGGUCCGGCCGGGCCUUUCCCUCUGCGGAACCGCAUGCCCUUCACUGGGUGUGCCGGGGAAGCAGGACUUUUACUUUGAAAAAAUUAGAGUGCUCCAGGCAGGCCUAUGCUCGAAUACAUUAGCAUGGAAUAAUAGAAUAGGACGCGUGGUUCUAUUUUGUUGGUUUCUAGGACCGCCGUAAUGAUUAAUAGGGACAGUCGGGGGCAUCAGUAUUCAAUUGUCAGAGGUGAAAUUCUUGGAUUUAUUGAAGACUAACUACUGCGAAAGCAUUUGCCAAGGAUGUUUUCAUUUAUCAGGAACGAAAGUUAGGGGAUCGAAGACGAUCAGAUACCGUCGUAGUCUUAACCAUAAACUAUGCCGACUAGGGAUCGGACGAUGUUAUUUUUUGACUCGUUCGGCACCUUAC
rnacentral:rRNA from 1 species